GGUUUUGUAGUGUAGUGGUUAUCACUCGGGAUUUUGACUCACUGGACACUUUCCCGAAACCCAGGUUCGAACCCUGGCAAGACCU